GAGUUUGAUCAUGGCUCAGAUUGAACGCUGGCGGAAUGCUUUACACAUGCAAGUCGAACGGCAGCACGGGGGCGACCCUGGUGGCGAGUGGCGAACGGGUGAGUAACACAUCGGAACGCGUCCUGUAAUGGGGGAUAACCUGGCGAGAGCCAGGCUAAUACCGCAUACGUCCUGAGGGGAGAAAGCGGGGGAUUGGCAACGACCUCGCGUUAUAGGAGUGGCCGAUGUCGGAUUAGCUAGUUGGUGGGGUAAAGGCCUACCAAGGCGACGAUCCGUAGCUGGUCUGAGAGGACGACCAGCCACACUGGGACUGAGACACGGCCCAGACUCCUACGGGAGGCAGCAGUGGGGAAUUUUGGACAAUGGGGGCAACCCUGAUCCAGCCAUGCCGCGUGAGUGAAGAAGGCCUUCGGGUUGUAAAGCUCUUUCGGCCGGGAAGAAAUCGCAUGGGUUAAUACCCUGUGUGGAUGACGGUACCGGCAUAAGAAGCACCGGCUAACUACGUG
rnacentral:rRNA from 1 species